rnacentral:lncRNA from 1 species
AUCCUUGCAAUGUGUUCCUUGCACCGGUCCCCUAAGUCCCUCCCGCGCUAGCCGCCCAGCCCCGCCCCUCCCGGGCCCUGCCCCUCCAGACCCCGCCCUUCCCCGCCCCGCCCCUCUCUCGCCCGGGCCCCACCCCUUCCCGGGCCCCACUCCUGGGGCGCACCUUGCGCCCACCCGCCUCAGUCGCCGCCGGCCAUUCGGCGUCCCGGCGGUUUCCUGCUCCGCCCUGUCCCUCCGCGCGGGCGCUCGCCUUCCCCGCCUCGCAGGCCUCACUCGGUUCAGGGCGGUUGGGCCGCACGCCUGUCGGGGCGGGGCUGGAGCGGGGGACCGAGCCAAUGGGGCGCGGCGGCGGCGGCGGUGGCUGUUGCUGUGGCGGCUGUGUCCGACCCAGACGGGCUGAGAUGGAGCCGGAGGGAGAUGGAGGGAGGCGGAGGGAGGCGGCGGGAGGCAGUGUCGGCGGCAGCGGCGUAGGGAGGAAGGUGGCGGCGCCUGUCCUGCUGAGGGUGUGGGUGCAUGCAGUGUGCGCCGCCGCCGGGAUCCAGCUCUCCAUCUGCGCCUACCAUGUGGAGCUGGAGAAGAAGCGGGACCACCGGCCCUCUGCGACCUGGGACCCUGGAUGAAGUGCUCCGCUGCGCUUGCCUCCAGCGGAGGCUCUGGAGCCGGCUCCGACCCGAGGAGGGUUGCGUUUCCCGCUGUCUUCGUGAUGCUGGGUCAGGUGUUUCCGUGGUCAGGCCUCUUUGUACUCCAGCGCUGGUGAGAAUUUGCAGACUUACUGGGACGGUGACAUUUGCAGAUAAACACGAAUUUGACCCUAUUCUGCAGGAAGGGGGGAAAUGGUCUGAGUUCAAGUCUAGUUUAAGCUUCACUGGAGUAAAGGACAAGUAUGUUAUGUUUAUGGCGGUGUUUUACGCAUUGGGAUGACUUGUAAACAUUGUUGCUUAUUAAUAUAAUAGGAUACCCAUAACAGAUUUAAAACACACGCCUUGCUAAACUGGAGCUAUUGGUUUGUGUUACUGAUCAUUUUAGUUUUUUUUUUUUUUAAUGUUGUAAUUGGUUUGUCUGUUAGGUUUUAUUUUAAUGUAUUAAAUUUCCCUAGGCAAGUUACUUUUAAAAAGGGGGGAAUUUACAUUUUAAAAGAGGCUGCCUUUUUUUUUUUUUUUUUUUUUUUUAACACGGGGUGAUUAAAAACAUAACAGAAGUCGAAGGAAUGAUUUCAAAAUUGGUAGGUUACGAUUUUAAUAGAGACGAUGUCUGAUAUUUAGAUGUUUGUUAACAGUAGUCACAUUUGAGCGAUUUCUUCCCCUGCUGUUGAUUGGUAAAUUGGUAUGUAUCAGAAAUGUAUAGCUCACUAGUUUAUUUCGACUCACAUAUUGUUUAUUACAUGAACAAGGUAGCAUUGGAGUUUGUCUUGUUAUUGGUUACAAAUUUUAGGGAGCUGAUCUUUCCACUUAGCUUUUUUCAUGGACCAGGUACUCUCUCAUUUGCUGUUAAACAAAAAUCGUGUAGCUUUUUACAGGGGAAAUAAUUAUCAUAGGGCCAAAUGAAACAUUUUAAAAAUGUAUUUAAAAUGUAGGUAUCAGGUUACAGGGGAAAUACACAGAUGUGACAAAAAGCUCACAUUUGUUGUUGGUUAUUCAGACCAAGGUUAAUAGGCUGAUUCGACUCUCAGAUACUCUUUGAGAACCAUUGAGUGUCUUUUAUGCAAAUAUUUUUAUGUUAUUUUCACUGUCAGAAAGGAGUUUUAAACUUGUAAGUACCUUUCACCCAAAGUUAGUUGAAUGAAUAAAUACAUAAGGAAAACAUGUAGCA